rnacentral:rRNA from 1 species
ACUUUAUGGAGAGUUUGAUCCUGGCUCAGGACGAA